GGGUCAGUAGGAUGGUCGUGCCACCGGUACGUACUGGUCUCACUGAUUCCUCCUUCCUGAAGAACCGUAAUGCCAUUAAUUUGGUGUUGCGGGGAAACAGGACUGUUACUUUGAAAAAAUUAGAGUGUUUAAAGCAAGCUAACGCUUGAAUACAUUAGCAUGGAAUAAUGAAAUAGGACGAUCGAUCCUAUUUUGUUGGUUUCCAGGAUUGACGCA
rnacentral:rRNA from 1 species